GAAUCUCUCUCAACCACUGAGCUCAAGUCAAAUCUGAUGAAGCGGUUCUCAAAAUAUAAUCUGUUUCUGAAUAUUUUCAUAGUAAUAUUAAGGAUUAUUUGCCUUUUUCACUGUCAUUCUGUCACAAGUAUGCAGAAUUUCCCAGACUCUGUGAUGUGAUAUUGUAACAAACAGUACAGAUGCCAGUGAGACUCUUCUAUCAAGCCUCACAUGAAAGAAAUUGGCAAAUAUGUAGAAUGAGGUCUUCUGCUUCCAAUGGAGAUGAGAAUGGGGGUAAAAGGGAAAGAAACCCCCAACCACCAGAGGUACAGGGUCCUCCUACCUUACCCGUUAGCAGCUUUGUC